UACGUAGGGGCCGAGCGUUGUCCGGAGUUACUGGGCGUAAAGCGCGCGCAGGCGGCGCGGUAAGACUGGCGUGAAAGCCCCCGGCUUAACCGGGGAGAGUCGCUGGUGACUGCCGUGCUUGAAGGCAGCAGGGGCAGGUGGAAUUCCCGGUGUAGUGGUGAAAUGCGUAGAGAUCGGGAGGAACACCCGUGGCGAAGGCGGCCUGCUGGGCUGACCUUGACGCUGAGGCGCGAAGGCGUGGGGAGCGAAC
rnacentral:rRNA from 1 species